AUUUGAAAUUAAUCACUUGAAUCACCAAACCACUAAAGGACGUGUGUUCUGUGUCGUCUCAGCAAAUCCCUGUGUGGCAACCUAAAAGACUUAGAAUACUGUUCAGAAUACUGUGCUGGAACAAGACUUUUCUCCAUCUGGGUUUUGUAUCCUCAAGCUCAACGUGCCAACACCAGCCUCCUGUCUUCUCCCCCUCUAGAAGAGUAGUUCUCGACCUUCCUAAUGCUGUGACCUUACAGUUCCUCACGUUGCAGUGACUCCCAAUCAUAAGGUUAUUCAUUGCUACGUCACAGCUGUAAUGUUGCUACUGUUAUGAAUCGUAAUAAAAGUAUCUGAUAUGCAA